CCUACGGGGCGCAGCAGUGAGGAAUAUUGGUCAAUGGGCGAGAGCCUGAACCAGCCAAGUCGCGUGAGGGAGUACUGCCCUAUGGGUUGUAAACCUCUUUUGUCGGGGAGCAAAAGCCGGACGUGUCCGGCUGUGAGAGUACCCGAAGAAAAAGCAUCGGCUAACUCCGUGCCAGCAGCCGCGGUAAUACGGAGGAUGCGAGCGUUAUCCGGAUUUAUUGGGUUUAAAGGGUGCGCAGGCGGAUUUUUAAGUCAGCGGUAAAAUCGUGGGGCUCAACCCCCUCCAGCCGUUGAAACUGGGGAUCUAGAGUGUGCGAGAGGUAUGCGGAAUGCGUGGUGUAGCGGUGAAAUGCAUAGAUAUCACGCAGAACCCCGAUUGCGAAGGCAGCAUACCGGUGCACAACUGACGCUCAGGCACGAAAGCGUGGGUAUCGAACAGGAUUAGAUACCCUAGUAGUC
rnacentral:rRNA from 1 species